UCUGUACCACACGGAUAACAUACCGAAAGGUAUGCUAAUACGAGAUAAAAUACUUUUAUCGCAUGGUAGAAGUAUCAAAGCUUUUGCGGUACAGGAUGGACCCGCGUCUGAUUAGCUAGUUGGUAAGGUAACGGCUUACCAAGGCGACGAUCAGUAGCCGACCUGAGAGGGUGAUCGGCCACAUUGGAACUGAGACACGGUCCAAACUCCUACGGGAGGCAGCAGUGGGGAAUAUUGCACAAUGGGCGAAAGCCUGAUGCAGCAACGCCGCGUGAGCGAUGAAGGCCUUCGGGUCA
rnacentral:rRNA from 1 species